CGAUGUUCAUGAAUUGUUCAUUUCCUAAAUUUGGGAUUAAUGCAAGGUCUUUGCAUAUGGGUAGAUGUAGUAGUAUAAGGCUGAAAACUUAACUUUCUAAAUAUUCAACAUUUGCUCUUGUAUACAGAUGUGAGGAAACUAUGCCAUUUGAAGUGGGGAAACCUGUAUUCGUGUAACUUUGAUUCACAGGGAAGUUACAAGAUUGCUUGAUGUUUGUGAGGAACAAACCACCUUCUUCUCGUAUAUUAAUGUAAAGAAAAGAACAAACACAAACUAUUUUAAAACUACAGACACGCUUAUCUGAGUCCAGAAUUGCAACCAAAUAGACCAGCUAAAUGGGCUUUCCUGCAUCACUGUAACAAAGCCCAUUGGAGUUACUUAAGGUCGAGUCCAAAUUCUAUGGACUCUGAAAGAACACUCUAAUAACUAUGCUAUGUCUAGCAAUUGUUAAAAGAAAAUUCUUACAAAAUAAUUAAAUACAACCUUAAUAUCAAACCCAAUUAAUCAUGGCUUAGAAAAAAAAUAUCAGUGGCCAUUUUAAUUUUGACAACAAUCAAAUGCUCUCAAAAUCAACUUAUUGAUGAAGGUAACUACUAAACUAUUAGCAUUGACAAUAAACCUAAAACAACGGCCAUGUAUGCUUCAACACUAGACAUAGCUUAGCCAUCAUUCAGGCAAAACCUGUACAAUUUUGAAGCUCAUACUUAAACCAUUUAUUAUAUGAGAAUAUCUAUGAUUAGAAGUAAUAAAUAACAUGUUGGUCAAGCCAUUAAAACUGCAACUCAAACCAACUUGUUGCCAGAUCCACAGUUAUUGACCCUCAAAUCCAACAUUAGACUUUAAUUUAUCAUAAGCCAUGAAAAAAAAGACUCGAACUUCAAGAAUUAAUAUUCAAACUAGGCAACAUAUGAUUAUGUACAAUACACAUGUUAAAUUCUAGUGGAAAUAGGUGAAAUGCAAAACAUUCUAAUCGUACAUCACUGCUAAAGCACAUUCCCGCUAUAACCAAACUUCAUGUAAUUGCUAUGUCAAAACCAAACAUUCAAGUUAUGUUCAAAAAAGAACCAACAAAUAGCAGGCUUAACAAACUACAACAGAUAGUUCAUAUUUCAAUACAAAUCAAAAUAGAAUACAAGUGAUAAAUGUGUACCUAAGCUCGAAAAUGAAUCUGAGCCUUUGCCAAAUAAAGAUCAAAGAAAUCAACUACUAAAUUUGCUCACAACAGGUCAGCAGCAGAAGAUAGGAUGACAGCUUGAAUCCCAGAAUGAUGAACAGAAACAACAGCAACAAUUAGAACAGCAACAAAACCCCAGAAUUUUGACUAAAACCAACUUUAAAUGGCAGGGAUCAUGAACUAGAAAACCAUGGAGCUAUUUCUGUUUUCAGAUUCACUAGGAAAACUCAGAAAAAGGAAGAAAAAUCAGUAUGAAAAUCAAACUUUUUUCCAGAAUUCCUUAGUGUUUCAAAAAUGCCUUUUUAAAAUUGCCUAAUUCUGAUGAUUGUCUGUUUUGAGUGAGUGAGGGCCUAUUCUUUAUAUAGAAUGCACAAAGAUAGCAUAAAAAGGAAUAUU
rnacentral:lncRNA from 1 species